CCUCUUCUCGCUUUCUCUUCCGCAACAUUCCGCCAUUGCUGGUCUGCAGGUCUGCUGGUGUCUGCUGCUCUGUUCUUCUGCUCCUCUGCCUGCUAUGGUCUCAAGUUUAUAUGGGGGCAAGAUGAAGGGCGUGGCAGGUCAGAGUGGUCUUGGAAAAUGCAACAUUUGGGUGCAAAAACAGGAGUGCCUGUUCUCACUUAGGUCUGUGGACACAGGCCCGAGGGUGCAUCUCUCACCAGGGACCCCUUCCUUCUCUACCCAGCAUUUCCCUGCCCGCCUCCCAUAUCAUCUGUGAUUUAAAUUUCAAAGAACUUGAAACCCAAAAGUUAUUCUUACCCAAUUUCUAAUUCCACUCAUUGUGAACUAGAGACAUUCUUGGCACUCAGUAGAAUUUGAAGCAGCUACAGCUACAGGAAGGUUGGAGCACUUACUCAGAAGCUCUGGCGUAUAGGAAGCUCCCAGCACAGGGAACUUUAGAAAACUCAUAAAUGCAGGUCUCCAGAUGCCAGAAGAUUAAACAAAUGCCAGCUUCACAAGGCCAUGCUUUUCCAGCAGAAGAGAGAUGCAAUGUAAACAAAAAACUUGUAGGUAAAAAUAAAAUUUUGGAACAGAAAGAGGACACAAAAUAAGGAUUUAAGGCUGACAGAAUGGGAGGAGAAAAAAACAAGAAUUCAAUAUACCAACCAAGCAAAAAGGCUGCAGAGAAAGAAGUGAGUCCUUUGCUUCCUGAUUCAAGGGGUCCAGUGACAGAGCAUUCAAUCCAGUCUAACAAAUAUUUAUUAAUGCUGAGGUGGAACUUGAGAAAGUGGGUGGGAGAGGAAGGUGGAAUUGGGAGUGGAUUUUGACUGUGGGAAUGGGAGGUUGGGGAAAGAAACAUUAUUUACAUUGUGCCAAUUUUUCUAUAUAUUUAAUGCUAGUGAGGACUUACAGCAAAACUUUGAGACAGGCAAUGUUAUCCUUCAUUUAGUAGGUAAGAAAGCCAAGACUUGGGGGUCAAGUAACUUCUCCAAUCACAUCUACACCGUUAAUAAAUGCCAGAACCUAUUUCCAAAUUUAUGUGCAUCUGAUUCCAAAAAUCUAUAUCCUACCCCCUACAUUAUUUUAUCCCUAUGCCUCAUUCAGAGCAGUGUGAUGGAGUCUGAGGAUGGGAAUAUAACAAAGGAAGCAAUGUAGGCCUUACAUUUUAAAGUGUUCUGAACUAAUAAGGGAAGAAAGGCAUGUAGACAAUGAGCCAUAUCACGUGACAGAAUAAAAUAUGGGCUUGGCUAGAUAUAAACGACGUACUGAGGAUGACAGAUAAAAGAGCAUUUCAUUGAUAUUUCUGUAAGGGAUAGUAUGUACUCUCUAGUACUUACUAGAUAUGAUGUUAUUGGACCUGAAUGCAAAGAAAGAUAUUGAAUCAAGCUUAAUAGGUUAAGAAUUAAGGGACAACCAUCAUGCACAAAGAAGGGGAAGGGAUUAUAAUGCAUGGACAGAAAUAAAGUUGAAAAAAAUGCUUGCAGUUAGAUCAUGGAAAUUCUUGAAUACAGCCAUAGGCAGUUUGGACUCAGUACUUUGCACGAUGGAGGUCAACAGGAGAUAUUAAUAUUUGGAGAAGGAAGAUAAGUGAUCUGUUGUAUUGAUAUCUAGGGAAAAUCAUUAUUUAAAAAAUAACCAUAGCUUACUUUGAAUAGGUGCUAUAGAGUUUGGGGAAUUAUACAAGUAUCUUUUCCUUCAAAUUCCCAUAUUGUCUCUUAGCUAGAUGGCCUGGAAUUUUCUUCCUUUGUAUUUAAAAUUUGUAAUAAGUAAUCUAAGAAUACAAACUAGAAGUUUUAUUAAUGUGUCUUCUCAUGCAUCACAAACCCAGAAGAAAUGUCAUAAACCUCCACAUCUUCUCUACCUACCUGGGAAGAGCAAUAUUUUAAUAAUGAGGAGUAUGGAAAAAGGUGGAGAAGAGGGCCUAGCUACAAUGGCGUAGGUUCAGAAUCAUGACUGUGGUCUUUAGAAACCCUAAAAGGAAUAAAGGUAGGCAUCCCAGUCCUAGAGAAACUGGAAUAUCAGGCAGGUAGAUAGGUAUCAGACAUUUACAAAAUUCAUACCUUGGAUCCACAGUCUAGAACUUAGGGCAAAAUUUGGAAUAGAAUCCAGAGCUUGACUUCCCUGGUAAUAGAUGACCAGGCCAUGAGAUUAUUUUUCUUCUCACAGGGAAAAACUGGUUACAAAGAAUGAGAUGAGGUUAAGUCUGCUAGCAAAGCAGAAUAGUUCCAGUUUUAUAGUCAGAUAGCCAAGGGAUCAGAAAAUGUGGCUAAUUUAUGCAAUACAAAGAGACAUCACAGGUUGUGUUUGGGGAAGUCAAAGGUCUAUUGGAGUACUUAAAUUUGAGAGAAGGCAAUGAGUAUCAGUUUUUCUAAUAGGAAUUUCUAGUGAAACAACAACAACAACAACAACAACAAAUCGAUAUUAGGUUGUAAAGUAGGAGGUCAAGCAAAGCUCUCAGUAGCAAAUAGAUGUAGCCUUGAUUACUGUCUUUCCCUUUGACUUGAUGUGUUAUGUUGAUCUAGACAGAAAAGCUGUCUGAACCUUUAUUCAUUAAUAUGUGAAAUGGUAAUAAAGAUGACUACUUCAUAAACAGACUAUGAGGAUUUCAAUAAAAUAGUUUACCUGAAAUGAAGAUAAGCUGUCUGUGACAAGCAGGCUCUAAUAUGAUACCCACCUGCUAGUGUUUAUGCCUGUAUGUGAUCCUCUUCCCUUGGUUGCUGGCUGGCUUGACGAUUUGCUUUUAAUUAAUUGAAUGUGGUGAAGUGGCAGGAUAUCACUUCCCUGAUUAGGUUACAUAUGACUGUGGCUUCUCUCUUGCUAGGGAAUUCUUCCUCAAUUGUUUGUUGAAGUUAACUAUUGCAUGAAGAGGCCCAUGUAGCAAAGAACCAAGAACAACCUCCUGUCGGCAGCCAAUGAGGAACUUAGACCCCCGAUGUAACAGCACGCAAGGAAUGGAAUUCUGCCAAUAACUAGAUAAGUUUAGAAAGCAAAUCCUUCCCUGGUUGAGCCUUCUGAUGAGACACCAGUCCUAGCUGACACGUUGAUUACAUCCUGUGGUGGUUAAUGUUGUGUCAACCUGGCUAGACUGUGGUUCUCAGUGGAUUGGCUAAAUAUCAGUCCAGAUGUUGCUGUGAAGGGUUUUUUUUUUAAAUGUGAUUAAGAUUUAAGUCAGUAGACUGAAUAAUUAUCAACAUUCAUAUAAGUAGACUUUGAGUAAAGCAGAUUCUACCCAUAAUGUGGGUGGGCUUCAUGCAAUCAGUUAAAGGCCUUAAGAGCAAAGAAAGACUGAGGUUGACCCCAAAAGAAAGAGUUUUCCUUCAAGAUAGCCACAUAAAAUCCCAGCUUGAGUUUCUAGCCUGUUCAUCUUUGGUAUGUGGACUAAGAUUGCCACAUCAACCCCUGCCAGAACUCCAGACUGUGAGCCUGCCCUACAGAGUUCAGAUUUGCCAGUCCCCAAAAAUCACAUGAGAAAAUUUCUUAAAAUAAAUUUAUCUCUUUUUCUCUUUAAAUAUAAAAGAACUUAAAGCAGAAGAUCUCACUAAGUUAUGCCUGUAUUUCUGAUCCACGAAAAUAAUAAAACAAUAUUUAUG
rnacentral:lncRNA from 1 species